rnacentral:rRNA from 1 species
UACGGAGGGAGCUAGCGUUGUUCGGAAUUACUGGGCGUAAAGCGCACGUAGGCGGCUUUGCAAGUUAGAGGUGAAAGCCCGGGGCUCAACUCCGGAAUUGCCUUUAAAACUGCAUCGCUAGAGUUGUGGAGAGGUAAGUGGAAUUCCGAGUGUAGAGGUGAAAUUCGUAGAUAUCAGGAGGAACACCGGUGGCGAAGGCGGGUCUCUGGGCAACAACUGGACGCUGAGGAGCGAAAGCGUGGGGAGCGAACAGG